GGCAGAUAGACAUUGUGGGCGAUGAAGAAGAGUAAAGGGCGACGACGAAGAACACUGAUUGCCGUCAUCAUCAUCUUCGUCGGAAGCUGGAAAGGAUUAACAAGCGACCAAGAAAAACAUUGUCGUAAAGUUCUUGAAAUCAGUUAAUCAUCUGAAGUGGCGGGACUUUUAUGGGGCAUUGCUAUGCGAUUGUUUGAUAUUCGGUUGAUUGUGGCGUUUUUGCUAUGCGACAAAUGGAGACUUGGUUCAGGGUAACAACAGAAAUAUGGGAUAGUAGACUUGGUUCAGAUGAAAACAAGCACCGUGAUCAAAUCCUGAAAGAAGCGCUUGCAUACGACAAGGCGAAUAGGACUUUUGAACAGUAGAUUUUGUGGUAGACAAUAAUAUGUGUAAGGCACUGGUUGAUGACGACACAAACAUGGUUGCUUUCUUUAUAAGUGGUUAAAUGUUUUGUUGAUGUUGGUACUUUGAAAUUUAUUUGGAUAAGUUAAAAUGUUUUUUGGUUUGUGUUUUAUUUUAUUUGGGUUUUUUUGCGGUUUAUGUAACUUGUGUACAAUGCUUUACUGGGAAUUUUAGGUCC
rnacentral:lncRNA from 1 species